UACGGCCGUAUCAUGUUGACACACAAGUUCACGUUCGAUCACCGAAGUUAAGCUCAAUCGACCCUUGUCAGUACCUAGGUGGGUGACCGCAUGGGAAUACCAGAUGCUGUAA